CUUUGUUGGACUGGCUCAUUCUGUAAAAAUGUUGUCAACAUCAGCAAGGCAACUAAUAGGAUCUAAACAAUUAGAAAACGCUGAAAAAAUGUAUGUUCAGGAUCUGAAUAUUUUGGAUCCAGAUUUGUACAAGAGCACUUCAGUCUUAUGUAGAGCAGCUGUUACAUGUUUUGACACGCAUGAUGGAUGGUGGUACAAAGCAUGUCCAUGCUGCUACAAACAACUCA